CAAUAAAGUUUUCAUGUUGCUUCUAAACAGCCUUUCAAAAAAGGUUUGAAGAAUGUGUAAGAAACUGAAGUGAGAAAAUCUAAUUUUCUAUUUCAUGUCCUACUUUUGACUUGAAAAAUAAAUACUUGAACAAGAAAAAUAGAUUUAUCUUCUCCUUCUCUCCUGAUUUCUGUUUCAGGCUGCUUCUUUUCAACCCUUCCUUUAAAAAAGACAAAUGAGUGGAAAGUAAAGGAGAAAAUAUCCUAAGACAAUAUGAAAAACUCUAAGCUUUACAUUUCUGCAAAAUGUGAACAAGGAACAUUUUCAGAUGAAGUGCAGUGAUAUGGUUUAUCAC
rnacentral:lncRNA from 1 species